GUGACAGAUAGCGACACACGCAAUGCUAUCUAUUUUCCGAUUUGGGAACCUAUUCUGGCUGGCAUUGGAAUUUGAGCCAUUUGAAAGUGAAUAAUUGUAUGACUGCUGCUGGUUCGUAUGCUGAAUAAUUUCAUCAGUGGAGACCGAAUCACUUACGCGGAGCAUUCAACAGGAUUUAUCUCUUAAAUUGACAUUGUACGGCCGAAGGCCACCCCAAAGCCCGACCUGCACCCGCGAGCACUCGGCUCCGCUAACGGAAAGCACCCCUAGCCAUGGCCCACCUGAGUCAAGUGAGCGGACCGCAGCCCAAGGGUGCCGGUACGAAUGCCGAGGUCGUAUAAAAGUAAACAGGGUGCUCGACCCUAUAGAAACUACACCACUGAACA